ensembl:lncRNA
AAUAACAUCUCUGCAGACUCUUAAAACCAUGGAAGCAUGAGGAGUGAUUUAGAAGCAAAGUAUCUAAAGAAAACAGAAAAUAUCUGAACUAUCAGCUUCCCAGUAGUCAGUGAGCCGAUAAGUAUUAGACGUGUGACGGAAGAUACCCACACUUAUCUGCAGGCAGGCUUUCAGAAAAUUUAAGGAGGCUUUCAGCCAGUGGAAACAAAGGAUUUUUCUAAAGCCUUCCAAUAACAGAGGAGAAGAAAUAAUUAUUCUAUCACUUUGGGAAGUGAACCUGAUGGAAAGGAUCUAAGACGUGACUGCAAGACCAGUCACCAUGGUGUGAACAACCACAUAUACACCCUGAACAAUGCUGUUUCAAAGCCACUUGAACAGAUCAACAACGAAACACGCUGAGUUAAUCACCAUUCAUGCUUGCCAACAGCCAGCACACAUUCCCCUGACAUGGGAAGGGGUAACUCUGCAGCUCUGUUUAACCAAAUGAACAGGCCUCAGGAAAUCAGUGUGCUCCUUUUACCUUAGGGGUGAUACUUCAACUCAGCUAGCAACAUGGAUUGUUCUCAAUGAAAAGCAGUCUGUUUUUGUAAUACAGAUGUAAGAAGAAAUGAAGCAGAUUGUGCUUCAAGCUGCUUCUGCCCUCUUUGAUA